rnacentral:rRNA from 1 species
AUGCUGGGUAAUCUUUCUUUGGACGCAAAAAACUGGAUUUUCACAUUGCAUGAAUCAUUGCCGCAAGGGGAAUUCAUACGGAUGGUGGUGACACUUUGGGCAGUCUGGCGAGCAAGAAGGAGAGCUAUACAUGAAGCAAGAAGGAGAGCUAUACAUGAAGAGAUCUUUGAUAGUCCAUUUACUACUAACUCUUUCAUACUCUCCUUUUUGAGGGACUUGGAGAUGAUCGAUAGAGGAGCUGGCAGUGUUACGAAGCGAGCUAGCUUGGGGCAACACACAUGGAUGCCUCCGCCAGAGGGUCAUGCAAAGAUGAAUGUGGAUGCGGCAGUGUCCAUGCAAGGGGAGUUUGGUGCCGUGGGAGCAGUGUGCCGAGACCACAGGGGAAGUCUCUUGGGUGCUUCGAUCUUAAAACUAGAGUUCAUCACGGAUGUGAGCACACUAGAGGCAAUAGCAGUAAGGGAAGGCCAAUCUCUGGCUGAGGAUCUAUAUGAGAACUCCAUUCAAAUCGCUACAGAUUGCAAGAGGGUGGUUGAAGAUGUCCAGAAGAACUCGGCGGCUGGCUAUGGAGCUAUAGUGCAUGAAAUAAUACUUCGUGCAAACGUUUUCUCUUCAUGUAAAGUAGUUCAUGAGCUUAGGAGCUCGAAUUUCGAGGCUCACAAUCUCGCUAGAUAUGCUUUAUCUUUAGACUUUGGUCGUCAUGUAUGGCUAGGACAACCAGAAGACCUUGAUUUUCUUCUUGUAAACAUUAUGGGCGAUGAAUAA